rnacentral:rRNA from 1 species
UACGGAGGGUGCAAGCGUUAAUCGGAAUUACUGGGCGUAAAGCGCACGCAGGUGGCUGAGUCAGUCGAUUGUGAAAGCCCUGGGCUUAACCUGGGAAUUGCAGUCGAUACUACUCAGCUAGAGUAUGGGAGAGGGUAGUGGAAUUCCCGGUGUAGCGGUGAAAUGCGUAGAUAUCGGGAGGAACAGCAGUGGCGAAGGCGGCUACCUGGCCCAAUACUGACACUCAGGUGCGACAGCGUGGGGAGCAAACAGG